AUUGAACGCUGGCGGCGUGCCUAACACAUGCAAGUCGAGCGGUAACAGGUGUAGCAAUACAUGCUGACGAGCGGCGGACGGGUGAGUAACGCUUGGGAAUCUGCCUAUUAGUGGGGGACAACCCGGGGAAACUCGGGCUAAUACCGCAUACGCUCUACGGAGGAAAGCCGGGGACCGCAAGGCCUGGCGCUAAUAGAUGAGCCCAAGUCGGAUUAGCUAGUUGGUAGGGUAAUGGCCUACCAAGGCGACGAUCCGUAACUGGUCUGAGAGGACGACCAGUCACACCGGAACUGAGACACGGUCCGGACUCCUACGGGAGGCAGCAGUGGGGAAUAUUGGACAAUGGGCGAAAGCCUGAUCCAGCGACGCCGCGUGGGUGAAGAAGGCCUGCGGGUUGUAAAGCCCUUUCAGUGGGGAAGAAAAGCCUCGACCUAACACGUCGGGGUCUUGACGUAACCCAUAGAAGAAGCACCGGCUAACUCUGUGCCAGCAGCCGCAGUAAG
rnacentral:rRNA from 1 species